UAUCAUCCAGUCGUUGAAAGCCCA
rnacentral:siRNA from 1 species